UUGACAUCCUGAUCGCGGAUAGUGGAGACACUUUCCUUCAGUUCGGCUGGAUCAGUGACAGGUGCUGCAUGGCUGUCGUCAGCUCGUGUCGUGAGAUGUUGGGUUAAGUCCCGCAACGAGCGCAACCCUCGUCCUUAGUUGCCAUCAUUUAGUUGGGCACUCUAAGGAAACCGCCGGUGAUAAGCCGGAGGAAGGUGGGGAUGACGUCAAGUCCUCAUGGCCCUUACGCGCUGGGCUACACACGUGCUACAAUGGCAACUACAGUGGGCAGCAAACUCGCGAGGGUGAGCUAAUCUCCAAAAGUUGUCUCAGUUCGGAUUGUUCUCUGCAACUCGAGAGCAUGAAGGCGGAAUCGCUAGUAAUCGCGGAUCAGCAUGCCGCGGUGAAUACGUUCCCAGGCCUUGUACACACCGCCCGUCACACCAUGGGAGUUGGUUUCACCCGAAGGCAGUGCUCUAACCCGCAAGGGAGGAAGCUGACCACGGUGGGAUCAGCGACUGGGGUGAAGUCGUAACAAGGUAACCGUAAAUCGAAUCCCGCGCCGCCUGGGGCC
rnacentral:rRNA from 1 species